rnacentral:rRNA from 1 species
CUGGUUGAUCCUGCCAGUAGUCAUAUGCUUGUCUCAAAGAUUAAGCCAUGCAUGUCUAAGUACAUGCCGUAUUAAGGCGAAACCGCGAAUGGCUCAUUAAAUCAGUUAAGGUUCCUUAGAUGUUGACUGUUUACAUGGAUAACUGUGGUAAUUCUAGAGCUAAUACAUGCACAAAAGCUUUGACCUUACCGGGAAAAGCGCAUUUAUUAGAACAAGACCAAUGGGGCCGCCGGCAACGGCGGCUCCUUCCAGUGGUGACUCUGAAUAACUUUCGCUAAUCGCAUGGCCUACGUGCCGGCGAUGAAUCUUUCAAGUGUCUGCCUUAUCAACUGUCGAUGGUAGGUUAUGCGCCUACCAUGGUUGUAACGGGUAACGGGGAAUCAGGGUUCGAUUCCGGAGAGGGAGCCUGAGAAACGGCUACCACAUCCAAGGAAGGCAGCAGGCACGCAAAUUACCCAAUCCCAGAACGGGGAGGUAGUGACGAAAAAUAACAAUACGGGACUCUUAUGAGGCCCCGUAAUUGGAAUGAGAACAAUCUAAAUCCUUUAACGAGGAUCUAUUGGAGGGCAAGUCUGGU